rnacentral:rRNA from 1 species
CUACGGGUGGCAGCAGUGGGGACUAUUGCGCAAUGGGCGAAAGCCUGACGCCGCGACGCCGCGUGAGGGAUGACGGUCUUCGGAUCGUAACCCUCUGUCAGCAGGGAAGAACGGUCACUGUGCUAAUCAGCAGUGAAUUGACGGUACCUGCAAAGGAAGCACCGGCUAACUCCGUGCCAGCAGCCGCGGUAAUACGGAGGGUGCGAGCGUUAAUCGGAAUUACUGGGCGUAAAGCGCUCGUAGGCGGUAUGUCAAGUCAAGGGUGAAAUCCCCGCGCUCAACGUGGGAACUGCCUUUGAAACUGGCAAACUGGAGUGUGUGAGAGGAUAGUGGAAUUCCAGGUGUAGGAGUGAAAUCCGUAGAUAUCUGGAGGAACAUCAGUGGCGAAGGCGACUAUCUGGCACAUAACUGACGCUGAGGAGCGAAAGCGUGGGUAGCAAACAGGAUUAGAUACCCCGGUAGUC